CCUACGGGUGGCAGCAGUGGGGAAUAUUGGACAAUGGGCGAAAGCCUGAUCCAGCCAUGCCGCGUGUGUGAAGAAGGCCUUCGGGUUGUAAAGCACUUUCAGUGGGGAAGAAAGCCUUGGGGCUAAUACCCUCGAGGAAGGACAUCACCCACAGAAGAAGCACCGGCUAACUCCGUGCCAGCAGCCGCGGUAAUACGGAGGGUGCGAGCGUUAAUCGGAAUUACUGGGCGUAAAGCGCGCGUAGGCGGUCUGAUAAGCCGGUUGUGAAAGCCCCGGGCUCAACCUGGGAACGGCAUCCGGAACUGUCAGGCUAGAGAGCAGGAGAGGAAGGUAGAAUUCCCGGUGUAGCGGUGAAAUGCGUAGAGAUCGGGAGGAAUACCAGUGGCGAAGGCGGCCUUCUGGACUGACACUGACGCUGAGGUGCGAAAGCGUGGGUAGCAAACAGGAUUAGAUACCCUGGUAGUC
rnacentral:rRNA from 1 species